ACUCAAAGGAAUUGACGGGGGCCCGCACAAGCGGAGGAACAUGUGGUUUAAUUCGAUGAUACGCGAGGAACCUUACCCGGGCUCGAACGGCAUAUGAAUGAUUAGGAGACUAGUCAGUCCGCAAGGACAUUUGUCGAGGUGCUGCAUGGUUGUCGUCAGCUCGUGCCGUGAGGUGUCGGCUUAAGUGCCAUAACGAGCGCAACCCUUAUCGUUAGUUACCAUCAGGUCAUGCUGGGGACUCUAGCGAGACUGCCACCGUAAGGUGUGAGGAAGGUGGGGAUGACGUCAAAUCAGCACGGCCCUUACGUCCGGGGCUACACACGUGUUACAAUGGGGGGUACAAAGGGCAGCUACCUGGUGACAGGAUGCUAAUCUCUAAAACCUCUCCCAGUUCGGAUCGGAGUCUGCAACCCGACUCCGUGAAGCUGGAUUCGCUAGUAAUCGCGCAUCAGCCAUGGCGCGGUGAAUACGUUCCCGGGCCUUGUACACACCGCCCGU
rnacentral:rRNA from 1 species